GAAGAUGGUUUCAUUGAUUUCUGGGUUUGAUCCUUGUAAGUCCGUACUGAUUGGAUCUGGGGUUAUGGGGCCUUUGGUUCGGGUCUUGGAAAGUGGCAGUGAAUUGGGAAAAGAGGCUGCUGCGAGAAGUUUACAGAAAUUGACCGAGAAUUCCGAUAAUGCUUGGUCAGUUUCAGCUCAUGGUGGUGUCACAGCUCUAUUAAAAAUAUGCGCUAGUGGUGAUUCUAGAGGAGAACUCAUUGGUCCAGCUUGUGGGGUAUUGAGAAACCUUGUUGGUGUUGAAGAAAUAAAGAGAUUUAUGAUUGAAGAAGGUGCUGUUUCUAGAUUUAUCAAGCUUGCAAGAUCAAGAGAUGAGGCCGUGCAGAUAAGUUCAAUUGAAUUCCUUCAGAAUAUUGCUUCUGGAGACGAAUCAGUUAGACAAAUGGUGGUGAGAGAAGGUGGAAUC
rnacentral:misc_RNA from 1 species